rnacentral:rRNA from 1 species
CGGCCCUACGGGGGGCAGCAGUGGGGGAUAUUGGACAAUGGGGGGAACCCUGAUCCAGCGACGCCGCGUGAGUGAAGAAGUAUUUCGGUAUGUAAAGCUCUGUCAGCAGGGAAGAAAGAAAUGACGGUACCUGACCAAGAAGCCCCGGCUAACUACGUGCCAGCAGCCGCGGUAAUACGUAGGGGGCAAGCGUUAUCCGGAUUUACUGGGUGUAAAGGGAGCGUAGACGGCAUAGCAAGUCUGAUGUGAAAGAUCGGGGCUCAACCCCGGGCCUGCAUUGGAAACUGUUAAGCUGGAGUACAGGG